UACGUAGGUGGCUAGCGUUGUCCGGAUUUACUGGGCGUAAAGAGCGCGCAGGCGGUCGUGCAAGUCGCGUGUGAAAGCCCCCGGCUCAACUGGGGAGGGUCACGCGAUACUGCUCGACUCGAAGGCAGGAGAGGGUAGUGGAAUUCCCGGUGUAGUGGUGAAAUGCGUAGAUAUCGGGAGGAACACCAGUGGCGAAGGCGACUACCUGGCCUGUUUCUUGACGCUGAGGCGCGAAAGCUAGGGGAGCAAACGGG
rnacentral:rRNA from 1 species